rnacentral:rRNA from 1 species
UAGGGAAUCUUCCGCAAUGGGCGAAAGCCUGACGGAGCAACGCCGCGUGAGUGAUGAAGGUCUUCGGAUCGUAAAACUCUGUUAUUAGGGAAGAACAAAUGUGUAAGUAACUAUGCACAUCUUGACGGUACCUAAUCAGAAAGCCACGGCUAACUACGUGCCAGCAGCCGCGGUAAUACGUAGGUGGCAAGCGUUAUCCGGACUUAUUGGGCGUAAUGCGCGCGUAGGCGGUUUUUUAAGUCUGAUGUGAAAGCCAAGGGCUAAACCGGGGAGGGUCAUUGGAAACUGGAAAACUUGAGUGCAGAAGAGGAAAGUGGAAUUCAAUGUGUAGCGGUGAAAUGCGCAGAGAUAUGGAGGAACACCAGUGGCGAAGGCGACUUUCUGGUCUGUAACUGACGCAGAUGUGCGAAAGCGUGGGGAUCAAACAGG